GCUUCACACACCCAAAUGUUCAGUAAAUAUUCCAGGAUGUGGGAUGGACACUCCUAGUGAGCUCGGUUCGAGCUUAAAAAUCAAACAAACUAAACAGUGACCCAGAUGGCCAGCAGGAAGGUGUGCAGCAGCCACUGGAAUGACCUCUUCCACCUCCUCCACUAACAGCUCCUCAUCAGCCGGCAGUGGGAUGUGAUCCUGAAGGGCCAUGUUGUGCAGAAGUGCCGUCACCAAAACUACACUGCACGCCUUUGCAGGAUGGAGCUUCAGGCCACCAGCAGAUUUGCUCACACACCUAAAGCGCCAUUUCCACAUGCCCAGGGCCCUCUCCACAACAACGCCUACAGUAACACUGUGUGUGAGUGUGUGUGUGUGUCUGUGUGUGUAUGUUGGUACAGCUGGCGCAGAUCCUUCAACCAUUUGAGCAUUAAAACAUUUUGUGCUA